rnacentral:tRNA from 1 species
GCCCAUCUAGCUCAAUCAAUAAAGCGCAAGGCUCUUAACCUUGUGGUCGUGGGUUUGAGCCCCAUGGUGGGCA